rnacentral:sRNA from 1 species
GCUGGGUAUGGUGGUGUGCACCUAUAGUCCAGGUACUUGGGAGGCUGAGGUGGGAGGAUCACUUGAGCCCAGGAGUUUGAGGCUGCAAUGAGCCAUGAUAUGGCCAUUGCACUCCAGCUUGGGUGACAGAGUGAGACCCUGUCUCAA